CGGGGGCUGGUGUAAUUGGUAACAUAGGCGCUUUGGGAGCGUCUGAUUCGCGGUUCAAGUCCGCGGCCCCCGA
rnacentral:tRNA from 1 species